rnacentral:rRNA from 1 species
AGUGAACGCUGGCGGUAGGCCUAACACAUGCAAGUCGAACGGCAGCACAGUAAGAGCUUGCUCUUACGGGUGGCGAGUGGCGGACGGGUGAGGAAUACAUCGGAAUCUACUUUUUCGUGGGGGAUAACGUAGGGAAACUUACGCUAAUACCGCAUACGACCUACGGGCGAAAGCAGGGGAUCUUCGGACCUUGCGCGAUUGAAUGAGCCGAUGUCGGAUUAGCUAGUUGGCGGGGUAAAGGCCCACCAAGGCGACGAUCCGUAGCUGGUCUGAGAGGAUGAUCAGCCACACUGGAACUGAGACACGGUCCAGACUCCUACGGGAGGCAGCAGUGGGGAAUAUUGGACAAUGGGCGCAAGCCUGAUCCAGCCAUACCGCGUGGGUGAAGAAGGCCUUCGGGUUGUAAAGCCCUUUUGUUGGGAAAGAAAAGCAGCAGGUUAAUACCCCGCUGUUCUGACGGUACCCAAAGAAUAAGCACCAGCUAACUUCGU